GACGAACGCUGGCGGCGUGCCUAAUACAUGCAAGUAGAACGCUGAAGGAGGAGCUUGCUCUUCUGGAUGAGUUGCGAACGGGUGAGUAACGCGUAGGUAACCUGCCUGGUAGCGGGGGAUAACUAUUGGAAACGAUAGCUAAUACCGCAUAACAGUAGAUGUUGCAUGACAUUUACUUAAAAGGUGCAAUUGCAUCACUACCAGAUGGACCUGCGUUGUAUUAGCUAGUUGGUGGGGUAACGGCUCACCAAGGCGACGAUACAUAGCCGACCUGAGAGGGGGAUCGGCCAAACUGGGACUGAGACACGGCCCAGACUCCUACGGGAGGCAGCAGUAGGGAAUCUUCGGCAAUGGACGGAAGUCUGACCGAGCAACGCCGCGUGAGUGAGGAAGGUUUUCGGAUCGUAAAGCUCUGUUGUAAGAGAAGAACGAGUGUGAGGGUGGAAAGUUCACACUGUGACGGUAUCUUACCAGAAAGAGACGGCUAACUACGUG
rnacentral:rRNA from 1 species